UAUGUUGGUUGCUGCCAUGGAUAUGAUGCUCUUGCCUCUGAAGGAAGGAAAGACCAAACAAACCACCUGACAGCUUCAUGUGAAUGCUUGGCAGAUGUUAACAACCUUCAAUAACCAUUCAGCUUAUCUGGACUAUUACAAAAUGGUGUCCAUCUUCAUCAUUCUGUUGGUCAUCUGGUGCUCCAGAGCUGGUGCUGGACCCCAUCCUCUCCUGCCCAAAAACAAGAACUUUUUCCUUCCAUCUUGCUGACAGCUGCAUUGCUUCUUAGCAAUCUAUCCUCUUCUUGUAACAUCGGAUGCUAAGUUUUACUGACUAUCUUGCCUGAAAAGGCAUGUCUUGGGAUCAGCAUUACCUUGAUAGACUUUAUAGCUGAAAUUUGUAAAACUUGAAAAUGAGCACGUCAUUAUAAUCACUUCAUCCUAGGAUCAGUGGCAUUUUAAGGUGUAAUGAAAUAGCAUUCGUGUUAUUCAUCUAGUGGACUCUGAGGCAGUGAUGCCAAAUGGAGACAGAAGUGGUGGGGAAAAGUCUCUUAUGCACUGCUGAGUGAUGCCAACACGUGGGGCGGCUUGUGUUCAACUCUUGUGUUAGUGCUGCACCACGAGUCCAUGCUCCCCAGCCUACUGUGCCUGGCAGCUGAGCGCAGUGACACUGGGUGGCGAUGAACAAGGUGUGGGGAAAUGGCACUCUGCGGGGACAGCUGAGGUGUGCAGGGCAGGGUGAUGAGUCUCUGGCUGUUUGCAGGGUCCUCGCUCUGAUUUUCCCUCAGUGGUCUUUUCCAAUAUAGCUCUGUUUUGGGGUACAUGCUGAUUGGAUGGCUUUGUGGUGGUGUUCUUUACAAGUCCCUUUUGAAACUUAUUAAAUGAGUAGUCACAGGAAAUUAGCUUAGUUUUAUGUUCCAACAUGAGCUGAGACAAGGUAUUAAUUUGACAGCUGGGCUCUGCCUCUAUUGAUUUUAUAUUCCAAGUGCAGCUCUUUGGGGCAAGAUAUAGUUCACAGAAGCUGGAAUUCAUUU